UUGCGGAAGGAUCAUUACCGAGGGGAUUCGGGCUCCGGCCCGAUCCUCCCACCCUUUGUGUACCCACCUCUGUUGCUUUGGCGGGCCGCGGUCCUCCGCGGCCGCCCUCCGUCCGGGGGGUGGCCAGCGCCCGCCAGAGGACCAUCGAACUCCGGUCAGUGAACGUUGCCGUCUGAAAAACAAUCAAUAAACUAAAACUUUCAACAACGGAUCUCUUGGUUCUGGCAUCGAUGAAGAACGCAGCGAAAUGCGAUAAGUAAUGUGAAUUGCAGAAUUCAGUGAAUCAUCGAAUCUUUGAACGCACAUUGCGCCCCUCGGUAUUCCGAGGGGCAUGCCUGUUCGAGCGUCAUUACAACCCUCAAGCUCUGCUUGGUGUUGGGCACCGCCCUUCCGCGGGCGCGCCUCAAAGACCUCGGCGGUGGCGUCUUGCCUCGAGCGUAGUAGAAAACACCUCGCUUUGGAGCGCACGGCGCCGCCCGCCGGACGAACCUUUUGAACUUUCUCAAGGUGACCUCGAUCAGUAGAUCCAGUC
rnacentral:misc_RNA from 1 species